rnacentral:rRNA from 1 species
AGAGAAUAGAUACCCUGGUAGUCCACGCCGUAAACGAUGGAUGCUAGCUGUUAUCAGUAUCGACCCUGGUAGUAGCGAAGCUAACGCGUUAAGCAUCCCGCCUGAGGAGUACGAGCGCAAGCUUAAAACUCAAAGGAAUUGACGGGGACCCGCACAAGCGGUGGAGCGUGUUGUUUAAUUCGAUGGUAAGCGAAGAACCUUACCAAGGUUUGACAUCCUGGGAAAGUUGGUGAAAGCCGACCGUGCCUUCGGGAACCCAGUGGCAGGUGAUGCAUGGCCGUCGUCAGCUCGUGUCGUGAGAUGUUUGGUUAAGUCCAUCAACGAGCGCAACCCUUAUAGUCUGUUGUAUUUCUCAGGCUAGACUGCCCCGGUAACGGGGAGGAAGGAGGGGAUGAUGUCAGGUCCGUAUUUCCCUUACACCUUGGGCUACAAACACGCUACAAUGGCCGGUACAAAGGGCUGCCAAGCAGCAAUGCGGAGCAAAUCCCAUCAAAGCCGGUCUCAGUUCGGAUUGUUGGCUGAAACUCGCCAGC